CUACGGGGGGCUGCAGUGAGGAAUAUUGCGCAAUGGGGGAAACCCUGACGCAGCGACGCCGCGUGGAUGAUGAAGGCCUUCGGGUCGUAAAAUCCUGUCAGAAGGAAAGAAGUGUAUGGUAGCUAAUAUCUGCCAUACUUGACGGUACCUUCAAAGGAAGCACCGGCUAACUCCGUGCCAGCAGCCGCGGUAAUACGGAGGGUGCAAGCGUUGUUCGGAAUUACUGGGCGUAAAGCGCGCGUAGGCGGUUUUAUAAGUCAGAUGUGAAAGUCCACGGCUCAACCAUGGAAGUGCAUUUGAAACUGUAAGACUUGAGUAUUGGAGGGGGUAGUGGAAUUCCCGGUGUAGAGGUGAAAUUCGUAGAUAUCGGGAGGAAUACCGGUGGCGAAGGCGACUAUCUGGCCAAAUACUGACGCUGAGGUGCGAAAGCGUGGGGAGCAAUCAGGAUUAGAUACCCGUGUAGUC
rnacentral:rRNA from 1 species